rnacentral:piRNA from 1 species
UCAAAAUGCAUACAGAAAUCAAUCAGGCUAU